ensembl:misc_RNA 7SK 7SK RNA
GGAUGUGAGGGCGACCUGACUGUGACAUCUGUCACCCCAUUGAUCACCAUUGUUGAUUAGGCUGAUCUAGCUGGCUAGGCAGGUGUCUCCUUCCUUCCUUACCACCCCAGGCAUUCCUCCUGAAGCUGGGCACUUGGUCGAAGAGGAUGACCAUCCCUGAUAGAGAAGGACUGGUCUUCAGUCAAGGGUAUAUGAGUAGCUGUAUUCCCUUGCUGGAACCUCCAAACAAGCUCUCAAGAUAAACAGUUGUGGAGACAAAAGUUUGAUUAUGCAGCUGAAGCCUCAAGGUAGCAGCUUUCAGAGCUCUUA